GCUGGCAUAGCUCAACUGGUAGAGCACCCGAUUUGUAAUCGGACGGUUGUGGGUUCAAGUCCUACUGCCAGCAC
rnacentral:tRNA from 1 species